rnacentral:rRNA from 1 species
GACGACGCUGGCGGCGUGGAUUAGGCAUGCAAGUCGAACGGUUAUCAUCCUUCGGGGGUGAGAGAGUGGCGAACUGGUGAGUAACACGUAGGUUAUCUACCCUCAAGACGGGGACAACCCAGGGAAACUUGGGCUAAUACCGGAUGUGAGCAACUUUUAGUUGUUUGAAAGGUGGCGUAAGCUGUCGCUUGGGGAUGAGCCUGCGUCCUAUUAGUUAGUUGGUGAGGUAACGGCUCACCUAGGCAAUGAUAGGUAGGCGGCCUUAACGGGUGGUGCCCACACUGGGAUUGAGAUACGGCCCAGACUCCUACGGGAGGCAGCAGUCGAGAAUAGUCUACAAUGGUCGGAAGACUGAUAGUGCGACGCCGCGUGAACGAUGAAUCCCUUCGGGGUGUAAAGUUCUUUUAUAUGUGAGCAGUGCUUCUUAUAUUAACAGUAUGGGGAGAGAGAUAUUAGCAUAUGAAUAAGCAACGGCUAACUCCGUG